UGGUGGGGGAUAGCCGGCCCAACGGCCGGGUAAUACCGCAUAUGGUGCUUUCUUCGCAUGAAGAGAGUAGCAAAGCUGUGCAGCAAUGCAUGGCGCCACAGGGGGGCUCGCGGCCUAUCAGCUAGUUGGGGGGGUAAUGGCCCACCAAGGCGACGACGGGUAGCUGGUCUGAGAGGAUGGCCAGCCACAUUGGGACUGAGAGACGGCCCAG
rnacentral:rRNA from 1 species